AAGGCUUUAGCUUAAUUAAAGUGUCUGUUUUGCAUGCAGUUGAUGUGGGAUAACAGCCCGCAAGUCUUA
rnacentral:tRNA from 2 species